rnacentral:rRNA from 1 species
GCAGCCGCCGCGGUAAUACAGAGGGUGCGAGCGUUAAUCGGAUUUACUGGGCGUAAAGCGUGCGUAGGCGGCUUUUUAAGUCGGAUGUGAAAUCCCUGAGCUUAACUUAGGAAUUGCAUUCGAUACUGGGAAGCUAGAGUAUGGGAGAGGAUGGUAGAAUUCCAGGUGUAGCGGUGAAAUGCGUAGAGAUCUGGAGGAAUACCGAUGGCGAAGGCAGCCAUCUGGCCUAAUACUGACGCUGAGGUACGAAAGCAUGGGGAGCAAACAGGAUUAGAUAACCCAGUAGUCCCUGUCUCUUAUAC